AGGAGGAACAACCAUAGUGGUGGCGGCCAGCUCCGGAGCCCUGGAGUCAGCUCCCGCAGUAACUAGGGAGCUUUCAGUCUGCAGGGCCUGGAUGCUCCGGAAGCCG
rnacentral:pre_miRNA from 1 species